AAUGAACGCUUGCGAUAGGCUUAACACAUGCAAGUUGAACAAGAGUGUAUUGCUUUUGUAGCGAACGGGUGCGUAAUGUGUAGGAAUUUACCUUUUUAAAGGAGUGAAAUGCUUUGAGAAAACAAGUUGUUGUAAGAAGAUAAGCCUACAUAAGAUUAGAUAGUUGGUGUGGGAAGGGCUCACCAAGUCGAAGAUCUUUAGCUGAUCUUAGCGGAUGAUCAGCCACACUGGGACUGAGACACGGCCCAGGCUCCCAUGGGAGACAGCAGUGAGGAAUCAUGGACAAUGCA
rnacentral:rRNA from 1 species